GCUGGGGAGGGUGAGCGCACGCGGCGCCUUUGCACGCUCCCUUCCGCGUGCGCGAACGCGCGCGCAGGUGACGGCGCAAGCCUGGCUGCGUUUGUGCCGCCGCGCGGCUCGGGCACGGAUGGCCGUGACCCGGAGUGCGUCAGCCCUCCGCGCGCCCCUAAGCUCUCCUCUCUCUUUCCUUGCUGCCACAGGGCACGUCCGGCAGCGAUGGCCCCCACGGCCCCCCGGGCGAAAGGGUAAGUGGGCACCUCACCCCCCUCCGCGCACAAGCACCAGCGCCAGGCUUUGCGUUGGCAGGGGACGCCUCCUCCCGAGCGCCCGCGCUGCUGUCACCGUCCCUGCACCRGCUGCUGCUCCCCGCAGCGGGGCACAGCUCCCUAGCGCGAGCUGCUUCGCGCCUGGUGACACCGCGGCCCCCAACUCGRCUCCCGGCAGCCUCCGCAGCUCCCCGGCGGACGCGGUUUUGUGUCGGUGCGACCGUCCCGCUGGGGGGCACGGCGCCAGGCGCCCGGCCCUGUUAACGAGCUCCGAGCAAAUUAGCGCUGCCCAGAAGGGCGCAAGUGCCCCCCCGAGUAACGCCCGUCCCCGGUGUGCUGUAACCUCCCUGCUCUUCUCCGCUCUAGGGCCUGCCAGGACCGCAGGGACCCAACGGCUUCCCGGGACCCAAAGGACCUCCUGGUCCCCCUGGCAAGGACGGGCUCCCCGGGCACCCCGGGCAGCGAGGAGAAGUCGUAAGUGUCCCCGCGCGGCCGCUUACCCCCGCUGA
rnacentral:lncRNA from 1 species